GUUGUGGCUCAGGGGUAGAGUGCUCGCCUAGCACGUCUGAGACCCUGGUUUCGAUCCUCAGCACAACA
rnacentral:tRNA from 1 species